ensembl:snRNA U6 U6 spliceosomal RNA
GUGCUCACUUCAGCAGCACAUAUACUAAAAUUGGAAUGAUACAGAGAAGAUUAGCAUGGUCCCUGAGCAAGGAUGACAUGCAAAUUUCGUGAAGCGUUCCACAUUUUU